rnacentral:rRNA from 1 species
UACGUAGGUGGCAAGCGAUACUCGGAAUCACUAGGCGUAAAGCGCAGGUAGGCGGUUUGGUAAGUCUCUUGUGAAAGCUCCCGGCUUAACUGGGAGAGGUCAAGGGAAACUACCGGACUUGAGUGUGGUAGGGGAUACUGGAAUUCCUGGUGUAGCGGUGAAAUGCGUAGAUAUCAGGAGGAAUACCUAUGGCGAAAGCAGGUAUCUGGGCCAUCACUGACGCUGAGCUGCGAAAGCUAGGGGAGCAAACAGG